rnacentral:lncRNA from 1 species
UUGAACUGUGACCUGGGCUCCCUUUCUGAACUGAUGUGUUCUGCUACCAUGGCUACUGCUGACGUUAGCUGCCAGAGGUCUUGGAACAGUUGGAACACUCGAAAUUUUGGUGGGAUCAGAAAUAGUUCAGGAGUGUGGAGAAUGAGAUGUUGUUGGGAAGUGUACAUCAGAGGGACUCUAUGUGUGCCACCCAGCUGUGCUGGAUGCCUCUGUGAUUUCCAUGAUCAUUGCCUCUCUGGUGGAGGUGUUCAGGUGAAGAGCCUCCUUGAGUCAAUGCAGGAAAAAUGCAGUGUACAUUUACUUGCCACAACUAUGGAAAUGAAGUUUUAUCUGCAUCCACCUGAAGAUGCAUUUUUGAGGAAUGGAUGGAUGCCAAGAGUGAAUGUGGCAGAGCCGCUGCCAGUAGAACUGCACUUCGGGGCAGGAGCAUGGUUUCUUUGGUGCAUUCAACUGCGAAGGUCUCCAAAGAAAGUAGCAUAUCUUGUUUGUAUGUUACUAACUGUAUGGUUGCAUCAUGAGGAGUGGCUGAGUCCCUGGGGGUUUGCUUAG